UUUAUCGCAAUUUUCAAGAAAGGAUGGGUAAGUGAAAAAGGCAACCUAGUGACUCCAUUUGCCUCUAUUCGAUCACUCUUCUCUGCAGCCCACUCUCGAGUCCAGCUGCAUCAUGAGAGCAAAGUGGCGUAAGAAGCGUAUGCGCAGGCUUAAGCGUAAGCGCAGGAAGAUGCGCGCUCGUUCCAAGUAAAUCCAUCCUCACACUCGCAGUCACAUGGAAGCAGAGUGGCAGUCUGAUUUUUAGGUAAUUCUGAAUCGGUUGUCAUUCCAAUCCCUGAAAACUAAGACCACCAUACGAGUUCUAUCUUGGAAAAGCUGCUGAAAUUUUGGCUGUAAAAAAAUUACCUCUUGUGAAAUGUCAUUCAUAUUUGAACAAUGUGCAUCAAUAAAGAUUUGUCUUUUCACAAGAA